rnacentral:tRNA from 1 species
GGUUCUAUGGUGUAAAGGAUAACACAGAGGUCUUCUAAACCUCUACUCCAGGUUCGAUUCCUGGUGGAACUA